rnacentral:rRNA from 1 species
CCUACGGGUGGCAGCAGUGGGGAAUCUUGCGCAAUGGGCGGAAGCCUGACGCAGCGACGCCGCGUGGGGGAUGACGGCCUUCGGGUUGUAAACCUCUUUCAGCAUUGACGAAGCCUUUCGGGGUGACGGUAGGUGCAGAAGAAGCGCCGGCUAACUACGUGCCAGCAGCCGCGGUAAUACGUAGGGCGCAAGCGUUGUCCGGAAUUAUUGGGCGUAAAGAGCUCGUAGGCGGUUUGUCGCGUCUGUCGUGAAAGCCCACGGCUUAACUGUGGGUCUGCGGUGGAUACGGGCAGACUUGAGGCAGGUAGGGGAGCAUGGAAUUCCCGGUGUAGCGGUGAAAUGCGCAGAUAUCGGGAGGAACACCGGUGGCGAAGGCGGUGCUCUGGGCCUGUUCUGACGCUGAGGAGCGAAAGCGUGGGGAGCGAACAGGAUUAGAUACC